rnacentral:rRNA from 1 species
UGCAAGUCGAGCGGUAAGGCCCUUUCGGGGGUACACGAGCGGCGAACGGGUGAGUAGCACGUGAGUAAUCUGCCCUUCACUUCGGGAUAAGCCUCGGAAACGGGGUCUAAUACCGGAUACGACACUUUUACGCAUGUAAUGGGUGUGGAAAGUUUUUUCGGUGGGGGAUGUGCUCGCGGCCUAUCAGCUUGUUGGUGGGGUAAUGGCCUACCAAGGCUUCGACGGGUAGCCGGCCUGAGAGGGUGACCGGCCACACUGGGACUGAGACACGGCCCAGACUCCUACGGGAGGCGGCAGUGGGGAAUAUUGGACAAUGGGCGGAAGCCUGAUCCAGCAACGCCGCGUGAGGGAUGACGGCCUUCGGGUUGUAAACCUCUUUCAGCGGGGACGAAGCGCAAGUGACGGUACCCGCAGAAGAAGCACCGGCCAACUACGUGCCAGCAGCCGCGGUAAUACGUAGGGUGCGAGCGUUGUCCGGAAUUAUUGGGCGUAAAGGGCUCGUAGGCGGUUUGUCGCGUCGGGAGUGAAAACGCCGGGCUUAACUCGGUGCUUGCUUUCGAUACGGGCAGACUAGAGGCAUGCAGGGGAGAACGGAAUUCCUGGUGUAGCGGUGAAAUGCGCAGAUAUCAGGAGGAACACCGGUGGCGAAGGCGGUUCUCUGGGCAUGUCCUGACGCUGAGGAGCGAAAGUGUGGGGAGCGAACAGGAUUAGAUACCCUGGUAGUCCACACCGUAAACGUUGGGCGCUAGGUGUGGGAUCCAUUCCACGGGUUCCGUGCCGCAGCUAACGCAUUAAGCGCCCC